rnacentral:rRNA from 1 species
UACGGAGGGUGCAAGCGUUAUCCGGAUUCACUGGGUUUAAAGGGUGCGUAGGUGGGUCUGUAAGUCCGUGGUGAAAUCUCUAGGCUUAACCUGGAAACUGCCAUAGAUACUAUAGGUCUUGAAUACUGUGGAGGUCAGCGGAAUAUGUCAUGUAGCGGUGAAAUGCUUAGAUAUGACAUAGAACACCAAUUGCGAAGGCAGCUGGCUACACAAAUAUUGACACUGAGGCACGAAAGCGUGGGGAUCAAACAGG